UCUGAGUAAAGGGAGUACAGGUACGACCAGAAGUACCUUUUCCGUAGCAGGUUAAGAUAAUUUACACAGCAGGUUAGGAAAAGGGUUAGCUAAAAUGCUCUCCUAACCUGCCAUGAAAAGUGUACUGGCAUUGAGUUGCUUUGAGUUGUACUUUUAUAGUUUUCACAGCUUAGCAUUUCUAAAUUCGUCAGUAUGAAAGACUCAACUUGUCAGUUGUAUGCUCUACAGUACCGCCCGGAAGCGCUUGGAGUCUUUCCUGAUUCAAGAGGUGGGGACCAAAUUUGCAGCCAAACAAGAUGUUAGGAGCUAGACAGUAGUCAAGCACCGUCACUCUCAUCUAGUUCCAGUUAAGGCUUAUGGGUGAUGGGAGUGACUGGACCAGAGCUGUGCUGUCAUGGAGGCGCCUGCAGAGGGCGCUGAUGAUGAGAAGGGUGGUCCUACCAGGGAGGAAGAGAAGGAGAAAGAGAGUUCUGUUGACCAAAUGGAACACAGAAGCAGACACUAGAUGGAAACAGCCGAUGGUUUGGACUGAGCAGGGAUCACAUGUCAUCAAUAGAAGACUAGAAGUGGGAACUGUAUUACAUUAUAGAAGGCAGCGGUGUUAGAAAGACAUCCCAAAUCAAAUGUUAUUUGUCACAUACACAUGGUUAGCAGAUGUUAAUGCGAGUGUAGCGAAAUGCUUGUGCCUCUAGUUCCGACCAUGCAGUAAUAUCUAACCUAACAUCUAAUCUAACCUAACAAUUUCACAACACCUACCUUAUACACACACGUGUAAAGGAAUGAAUAAGAAUAUGUACGCAAAACAGUGUUAUUCAGAGUGAGCUGUACAGUAGCAUGCUAUAAAUGACAGAGUUUAGGCUCUACGCUUCACAGCACUGUAUGGGUUUUGACUGACAACUAGUCUUACCUUGAGCACCUCAUGCGACAAAAAGUUGCCCCAUCCCUCCUGCUAACUGGGCAACUUUUGCAACUUUUUUUUGUCUUGAGUGAGGGAAAUGCUGUAAAUUCAGGGGACUCAAUGUAUUUAGAGAGAUGAUACGUUGAGAAUUAUAAUACAUACCGCUUUGAUGUCAUACAAGCAACCCAAACACCCGUGAGGGAGUCUAAAUGUGCAUUUCACAUUUCCAUAUCAUAAAACUCAGUGUCAACGUUUAUGAUCACUAUGUUUGAUGUACAGUUACAAGAUGAGAUGGUGUCAUACCCUGGGUUGUUCUGAUCUGAAUUGUUUAUCUAUUGUGAAGAAACUUUGCUG